rnacentral:lncRNA from 10 species
UUCACAUCCUUGGUGGGACGGAGCAGGAAGGCUGGAGAUUUCAUCAAGCUACUCACAGCAGCAUGCCAUUUAAAAUUCAUGAAUUAUUUAUUUCUGGAAUUUUCCGUUUAAUAUUUUUGGACCACAAUUGACCUCAGAUUUUACUUUCUACUCUUGUCAGUCAUAUCUGCAAGGCUGACAGUUACCAGGGGCUGUGGCCAGGCAUGAGGGAGAAUGUGUCAUUGCUGGCUGCGUUGGUCAUAGCAACGUGUCUGCCUCAGAACAGAUCCAGCAUGGAUGAGCAAACAGAAAAAUGUGUAAGAAGGCUUGUGACUGAAACAGACCAAGGGUGAGAGAACCUUUGUGGGAGCGCAGAAGUCCAGCAGAGAGACCCUAGCACUUUAUUUGGACCAAAAAAUAAAUAAUAAAUAAAUAAAUAAAUAAAUCCAAAACUAGAUGCAUUAAAGAAGGUAAGAACAGUUUUACUUUACCUGUGUCACCCCUCCCCCAGUGUGGCACAGAUCAGUGCCAAGAGAGACCGCUUCAGCCCAGUUUCUUCCACAGGGGAAAAUGAGAACAGUGAGUGCCUAAUUUCCUCAGCUGUAGGAUGCUGUAGAAGAGACCCACUUCUGCCUCACCCAUUUGAGAACCCUGAGGGAAUCAGUAUGGCUGAAUAAUCUGGGGGUAGCUAGGAGCAGGGAAAAGGGGCAGCACUCACAGCAACCUGAGUAUGGAAUUCAGCAAAGAGCCACAGUUUCUAUUAACUACCUCCCAAAUUCCAUCAAGAGGGCCAGCCACAAACUACAUAGGAUGCAUAAUCUGCAGAUCCCCUGACUAGCCCAUGUGUGCUUCCAACCUUCUGCAUGCCCUUCCCCCAUGUAGCUGGCACCCUGAAUGCACCCCCAUGGAUAGCAUGUACAAGCUUCUGCAGAUUGUGCAUGAGAACAUGAAGAUAACUAACUUGAUUCAGGAUUGGAAGGAAGUGACUAAUCUUGAAUUUUUCAAGGCACUUCCUAGGGAAGAUAAACAGGAGGCUUACAUUGCACCUGGCCUGACUUUUGCAAGAUCAAGAGAAGGAAUAUGCUGUAAUUUGAAUGAAAAUUUAACAUUUAAAAUUUAUGUUGAAGCUGAAUACUCAAUGCAAUAGUACUAAGAAGUCUAACCUUUGGGAGGUGAUUAAGUCAUGAUGACUCUUCUCACUUGAAUGGGAUGAGCACUCAUAAAAGAUGUCAAGGUUUAUGGGAGUUCUCUUUUGCCCUUCCAUCCCUUCUGCCAGGUUAGACUUCUCCUAUGGAGAAUGCAGCAAGAAAAUACCAUCUUGAAGCAGAGAGCAGCGCUCAUCAGGCAUCAGUCCUUCUGGAGCCUUGAUCUUGGACCUCCCAGCUCCAAAAUAAUAAGUAAUAAAUUGUUAUUGCUUAUAAAUU